CGAUUUCAAACGUAUAAAAAACGGUUUCCUUACUUUUUCUGUUCGUCUCGACAAUUUUGGGGGAAUUUUUUUUACAUACAUUUCAGAUAUUAGGCAGAAGCGCUCACCUUGAAGACCAGCGGAGCCUCUUUCGUGGUGUCGCGUCCACUCUGAGUGAAGAGGGCGCUGCGAGCUACACUGAUUACACGCGCCGCUUCUUCAGCCACGAAGAACUGAACAUGGAAGAGAGUGGGCCAUUGUUAUCAUCAAUUAUCAAAAGAUACCGUUAUCGGUUUCAAGAUUACUCUGGACUAAGGUAUAUUAUACCCACAUGUCAGUGAUAGAUAGACUUUGAGCUCUAAAGGGUAUGGAGAGAUGAAGAGAGCCUUGGUUGGAUCUUCCGGAUAUUUCUUCUGUUGGUCUUGGAGAUUGCAUUGAAGUUGCAGUAAAACCCUGCCAGAUAUCCUCCUUCAUUGCCAUACAAAGUGGGUUGGAACAAAUUUCAUUCUGUAUUUGGAGGAGGAGGAGCAACCAAGGCAAUUCCCUCAUAAUCAAGCCUUCAUUAUUGUGGGAGAAAUGUCACUGAAGCAAGGCCGUCUUUCUUACAAGCAGUUGAUACAUGCUUUAAAUUAUUUUACAUUUUGAACAUUGAG